rnacentral:sRNA from 1 species
CUGACCCAUCCUGAGUGCCAAAGCUGGGGUUCUACUUGAGAUUUCCCUCGUGGUGCCAGGGUCCGGCGAGCAUCACGCCGAGGCCCAUUUUCCAGACGACCACGACGAGGCCGGGGUCACGAACUCUGGUGCCCUUUACCAGCUUCCAGUCUCUUGAGGUGGCCAGUGUGGUGCUUGGUCCUUGUUUCCAGGAUGGACUUCCCCGGCUCCCUCCGCCCUGCGUUGUUUAUGACCGGCCCUCUUGGUCUGAGUGACGUCCCUGACCUCUCUUUCAUGUGCAGCUGGCAAGAUGCGCUGACCCUGCCAGAGGCCCAGCCCCAGAACUCAGAGAAUGGGGCACUGCAUGUGACCAAGGACCUGCUGUGGGAGCCGGCAACCCCUGGGCCUCUCCCCAUGCUGCCUCCCCUCAUCGAUCCCUGGGACCCUGGCCUGACUGCCCGGGACCUGCUUUUCCGCGGAGGGUACCGGUAUCGGAGGCGGCCCCGAGUCGUGCUGGAUGUUACUGAGCAGGUGAGUGGGCCCACGGGGGACAGUGCUGCGUAGCCUGGAGACUGUGCUUAGUGACCUGGCCUCCUCCUCUCCCCAGAUCAGCCGGUUCCUCUGGGAUCAUGGAGACGUAGCCUUUGCGCCCCUGGGGAAGCUGAUGCUGGAGAAUUUCAAGCUGGAGGGAACAGCGAGCCGCACUAAGAAGAAGACAGUGGUCAGUGUGAAGAAGCUGCUCCAGGACCUCGGUGGACACCAGCCCUGGGGGUGUCCCUGGGCUUACCUCAGCAACCGACAGCGCCGCUUCUCUAUCCUCGGGGGCCCCAUCCUGGGCACAUCGGUGGCGAGCCACUUGGCAGAGCUGCUGCACGAGGAGCUGGUGCUGCGGUGGGAGCAGCUGCUUCUGGAUGAGGCCUGCACUGGGGGCGCGCUAGCCUGGGUGCCUGGAAGGACACCCCAGUUCGGGCAGCUGGUCUACCCUGCUGGAGGCGCCCUGGACAGGCUGCAUUUCCAAGAGGUCGUUCUGACCCCAGGUGACAGUCCCCAAUUCCUUGGGAACCCUGGACGCAUCCAGCUCCAGGGACCUGUCCGGCAGGUGGUGACAUGCACCGUCCAGGGAGAAACUCUGCUGGCCGUCCGCUCUGACUACCACUGUGCCGUGUGGAAGUUUGGUAAACAGUGGCAGCCAACCCUUCUGCAGGCAAUGCAGGUGGAGAAAGGGGCCACAGGGAUCAGCCUCAGCCCUCACCUGCCUGGGGAGCUGGCCAUCUGCAGCCGCUCAGGAGCCGUCUGCCUGUGGAGCCCUGAGGAUGGGUAUUGCCGCUUCCUGUGAAACCCCCCACCCUAACAAACUGAACUCUGCCCUGUUCAGCAUGUCACGACCCUUGAGCCCCUUCCACCUCAGCCUGUCCCCCUGCCCAUGGCUUGCCUGUCUCCCCAAGGCUGCAGCAAAUCUACAAGGACCCUGAGACCCUUGUGUUCCGGGAGUCCUCUUCAUGGCGUUGGGCAGACUUCACUGCCCACCCUCGGCUGCUGACCGUUGGUGACCGCACUGGAGUGAAGAUGCUUGACACUCAGGGCCCGCCGGGCUGUGGUCUGUUGCUUUUUCGUUUGGGGGCAGAGGCUUCGUGCCAGAAAGGGGAACGUGUCCUGCUCACCCAGUACCUGGGGCACUCCAGCCCCAAAUGCCUCCCCCCUACUCUCCAUCUCGUCUGUACCCAGGUGAGUGGCACACAACACCGCCCCGCCCCACCUCUGCUCUGUCUCAGAUGGUCACUAGAGGCUGCUGCUUACCAGCGGCUCUGCUGGGCCCAGACAACCACCCAGCAAACCAGACUCAACCCUGGAUGAAUCUGUGGCCCAAACUCGCAGUGGAUCCCACAGUCGGUGCUAACAGGCAGGUGGGGAAGCUCUCCCAGGGCCUCCCCUUAGUAGAGCUUCGAGGUGCAGCCAGGGGUGGAGCAGGGGAGGAGGGGCCUCGGGGUAGGGCUUCUGUGCAGAGCUGGACAGUUUCUGCUGUGCAGGAGGCAGGGGCUCUGAGGAAGCAAGUCUCCUCCACCCGCCCUCCUGGGGACGUUCGUAGGAGUACAGGCUCCGGGGUCAGGAGAGUGGGGUUGGCUGCGGGAAGGCCAGGCAGGUUUCUGCUGGCAAGGCUCCCCCACACCUCUUCUGAGCACCCCUUUCCCACUUGUUCUGUCUGUCCACCGGGCUGUUGGUCAGAAUUGGUGAAGGAAGCAGCACCAGUUCAGGGCUGGCAGGUGCGGUCUGAGAGGCACGUGGAGGCUGAUGGGAGAUGCUGCUGCCCCUCAGGGCUCUGCACUCACCCGGAGAGAGCUACAUGGGGCCUGGAGGGCCACUACACAGCUCAGCUCCCAAGUUCGGCCACAUCCCCCUUCUUUCUCGGGCCCCAGUUCUCCCUCUACCUAGUGGACGAGCGCCUUCCCCUGGUGCCGAUGCUGAAGUGGAACCAUGGCCUCCCCUCCCCGCUCCUGCUGGCCCGACUGCUGCCUCCACCCCGGCCCAGCUGCGUGCAGCCCCUGCUCCUCGGAGGCCAGGGUGGGCAGCUGCAGCUGCUGCACCUGGCAGGAGAAGGGGCGUCGGUGCCCCGCCUGGCAGGCCCCCCCCAGUCUCUUCCUUCCAGAACCGACUCCCUCCCUGCAUUUCCUCUGCUGGAGCCUAAGAUCCAGUGGCGGCUGCAGGAGCGCCUGAAAGCACCGACCAUAGGUCUGGCUGCCGUCGUCCCGCCCUUGCCCUCGGCGCCCACACCGGGCCUGGUGCUCUUCCAGCUCUCGGCGGCGGGAGAUGUCUUCUACCAGCAGCUCCGCCCCCAGGUGGACUCCAGCCUCCGCAGAGAUGCAGGGCCUCCCGGUGACACCCAACCUGACUGCCAUGCCCCCACAGCUUCCUGGACCUCCCAGGACACUGCCGGCUGCAGCCAGUGGCUGAAGGCCCUGCUAAAAGUGCCCCUGGCUCCUCCUGUGUGGACAGCACCCACCUUCACCCACCGCCAGCUGCUGGGCAGCAGAGAGCUGCGGAGGGAGGAAGAGGAAGGGCAGCGGCUGGGUGUGCUCCGCAAGGCCAUGGCCCAAGGGCGGCUCCUGCUGCAGAGAGACCUGGGCUCCCUCCCUGCAGCAGAGCCACCCCCUGCACCCGAGUCAGGCCCAGAGGACAAGCUCAGUGAGCGCCUGGGGGAAGCCUGGGCAGGCCGAGGGGCUGCCUGGUGGGAGAGGCAGCAGGGCAGGACCUCGGAGCCCGGGAGACAGACCAGGCGGCCCAAGCGCCGGACCCAGCUGUCCAGCAGCUUUUCGCUCAGUGGCCAUGUGGACCCCUCAGAGGACACCAGCCCCCGUCACAGCCCUGAGUGGCCACCUGCCGAUGCUCUGCCCCUCCCCCCCGUGACCCCGCCCUCCCAGGAGUUGACUCCGGAUGUGUGCACCCAGGGCGUCCCAUCAGGGCGGCGGCAGAUGCUCCGUGACUACAUGGCCAAGCUACCACCCCAAAGGGACACCCCAGGCUGUGCCGCCACACCCCCUUCCUCCCAGGCCUCCAGCAUCCGGGCCACUCGCUCCCAGCAGCACACACCCGUCCUCUCUGGCUCUCAGCCCCUCCGGAAGAAGCCUCGGAUGGGCUUCUGAGGACACAAGGUGGGCUGCCCUCAAGCCCCAGAGAGCCCCUCAUCCUUCCUCCGGGACCAGAUGUGCCUUCCACAGUUGAAACUUGAGAAGCAGAGCUCGCCACCUUCUAGAGGCCACUGUGAUGAUGAGCCAAGCAAUUUGGAGCCAAGUUGAAGGGACAGGGCAACAAAAUACAAUAGUAGUUUCUUUCGUAUUUUGUAUAUUCGCCUGAAGAUCAUCCCGAAAGGCAGGUUGGAGGUGCUGGCGGGCCUGUGUUGAUAGGAUUCUAGUCUGUGCUGGGAGGCAGGGCUCCGCUGCGCCUCAGCUGUGGGGGCCUCAGGCAGGUCCCUCAGUUCUCACGCCUUCCUGUCCGGUGAAAUGGGGGCCAGGAGUGCUGGCUCCUUGUGUUUGGUGAGGGUGGAGUGAGGCCCCUGCAGAGCUGCUGAUGAGGUGGGCACAGCGGCCGUCGGCAGCUGCUGUUUCGGGUUGCUUUGUCAAUCUCUGCCCCGGUCUGAUGUUUUGUACAGGGAGAUGCCUUGAAUCCAGGUUCAGGGAUUAAAUAAACUUGUCAGCUGGAGAUGAAUUGGAAUGGUCACAUUUUUUAGGCUGGACAGCGUCCCGCCAUAGCAGCCAUCUGACACUGAGCUCAUGCACAGAGAUGACGGCUGAUGCUCCUUCUCCCUCGGGACAUGGCUCUGGCACCUGGGGGCUCUCGAUGGUGCCCUCUGAGCACAGGGUCAUGGUCACGUCAGUUUGGGAGAAUUCUCUGUUGUGUCUCACAGACUCCCCCCUUUCUUUCCUCCCUCCCAUUCUCAUUUUGAUGUCUAAAGCAUCAAGUCCCUCUUCCUCGGAGUUUCUCUAGCUGCAGUGGAAGAUUCUGUUUUCCUGUGGGGAAAAUGCUCACUUGAGAUUUUGCAGGGACCCGGGUCUGUCUGGUUUCUGAUGACACAGUAAGAGAAAGGUCUUUUUUCAGGGUGGCUGGUGAAAGGAAUUGCAUGUGACUCACACAAACAGGAGCUAGCCCAAUCAUACACUGACGCACGUGGGUGUUCAAAUGUUUAUCAUGCCUAAAGGAGACAUUUAUAACUAAACCAUUUAUGCUACAUAU